rnacentral:rRNA from 1 species
AAAUUGAAGAGUUUGAUCAUGGCUCAGAUUGAACGCUGGCGGCAGGCCUAACACAUGCAAGUCGAACGGUAACAGGAAACAGCUUGCUGUUUCGCUGACGAGUGGCGGACGGGUGAGUAAUGUCUGGGAAACUGCCUGAUGGAGGGGGAUAACUACUGGAAACGGUAGCUAAUACCGCAUAACGUCGCAAGACCAAAGAGGGGGACCCUCGGGCCUCUUGCCAUCGGAUGUGCCCAGAUGGGAUUAGCUUGUUGGUGGGGUAACGGCUCACCAAGGCGACGAUCCCUAGCUGGUCUGAGAGGAUGACCAGCCACACUGGAACUGAGACACGGUCCAGACUCCUACGGGAGGCAGCAGUGGGGAAUAUUGCACAAUGGGCGCAAGCCUGAUGCAGCCAUGCCGCGUGUAUGAAGAAGGCCUUCGGGUUGUAAAGUACUUUCAGCGGGGAGGAAGGGAGUAAAGUUAAUACCUUUGCU